UAAAGAUUCAUCGCUGAUAGAUAGGCAUGCGUUCCAUUAGGCAGUUGGCGGGGUAACGGCCCACCAAACCGACGAUGGAUAGGGGUUCUGAGAGGAAGGUCCCCCACAUUGGUACUGAGACACGGACCAAACUCCUACGGGAGGCAGCAGUGAGGAAUAUUGGUCAAUGGGCGUAAGCCUGAACCAGCCAAGUCGCGUGAGGGAUGAAGGUUCUAUGGAUCGUAAACCUCUUUUAUAAGGGAAUAAAGUGCGGGACGUGUCCCGUUUUGUAUGUACCUUAUGGAUAAGGAUCGGCUAACUCCGUGCCAGCAGCCGCGGUAAUACGGAGGAUCCGAGCGUUAUCCGGAUUUAUUGGGUUUAAAGGGUGCGUAGGCGGCCUUUUAAGUCAGCGGUGAAAGUCUGUGGCUCAACCAUAGAAUUGCCGUUGAAACUGGGAGGCUUGAGUAUGUUUGAGGCAGGCGGAAUGCGUGGUGUAGCGGUGAAAUGCUUAGAUAUCACGCAGAACCCCGAUUGCGAAGGCAGCCUGCCAAGCCAUGACUGACGCUGAUGCACGAAAGCGUGGGGAUCAAACAGGAUUAGAUACCCUGGUAGUCCACGCAGUAAACGAUGA
rnacentral:rRNA from 1 species